rnacentral:rRNA from 1 species
CCUACGGGUGGCAGCAGUGAGGAAUAUUGGUCAAUGGACGAAAGUCUGAACCAGCCAAGUAGCGUGAAGGAUGACUGCCCUAUGGGUUGUAAACUGCUUUUAUAAAGGAAUAAAACGAGGCACGUGUGCCUGUUUGCAUGUACUUUAUGAAUAAGGAUCGGCUAACUCCGUGCCAGCAGCCGCGGUAAUACGGAGGAUCCGAGCGUUAUCCGGAUUUAUUGGGUUUAAAGGGAGCGUAGGUGGGUUGUUAAGUCAGUUGUGAAAGUUUGCGGCUCAACCGUAAAAUUGCAAUUGAUACUGGCAGUCUUGAGUAUAGUUGAGGUAGGCGGAAUGCGUGGUGUAGCGGUGAAAUGCUUAGAUAUCACGAAGAACACCGAUUGCGAAGGCAGCUUACUAAGCUGUGACUGACAUUGAUGCUCGAAAGUGUGGGUAGCAAACAGGAUUAGAUACCCCAGUAGUC